rnacentral:rRNA from 1 species
CAGGCCUAACACAUGCAAGUCGCACGAGAACUCUUUAGCUUGCUAAAGAUAGUAAAGUGGCGCACGGGUGAGUAUCGCGUGGGUAAUCUACCUCUGAAUCUGGGAUAACAUUGCGAAAGCGAUGCUAAUACCGGAUAAUAUCUUUUAAACCUUGGUUUUCAAGAUCAAAGGUGACCUCUAUAUAUAAGUUGCUGUUUGGAGAUGAGCCCGCGUACCAUUAGCUUGUUGGUGGGGUAAUGGCCUACCAAGGCCGCGAUGGUUAGCUGGUCUGAGAGGAUGAUCAGCCACACUGGAACUGACACACGGUCCAGACUCCUACGGGAGGCAGCAGUGAGGAAUUUUGCGCAAUGGGGGAAACCCUGACGCAGCAACGCCGCGUGAGUGAUGAAGGCUUUCGGGUCGUAAAGCUCUGUCAAGUGGGAAGAACAUGUUUGAUGAUAAUACCAUCAUGCACUGACGGUACCANUAAAGGAAGCACCGGCUAACUCCGUGCCAGCAGCCGCGGUAAU